rnacentral:lncRNA from 1 species
CAGAUUUAAGGAUGGGUUACCAGCACACAAGGGCUACAUUGAUCAUAGAUUAUAACACAGAAGAAUUACAGAGGAAGAUACAGUAAACCACAGACAGGUAAUGAUGAGAUGAUGAGAUGACAGCUUGGAGAGAAUAUGGAUGUAAGUACAGCUGGGAGAGUUAGAGUUUGACAAAAGCUAUGGUGUAAGUGAUUUUGAAACCAGGAGCGAGAUUAUUGUUCAGCCAAUAUGUUCUUGAAAUUUUCUGCUGGAGAGCAAUGCAAAUUAACUUGUUUUCCAUGCAGACAGUACUAAAGAGAGCAACUUAGCCAGUUAGUGCCAUGUCGCAUCAAGUACUUACUUUUUUUUCUUUGGGCAUUAAUACCUUUUGCAUCAGGUUUUGUGUGUCACAACCUCAAUGGAGUUUACCUAGUCUGUGACAUCCCUUGUUGUUUUGAUUUAAUGAACUGUAUUCUAAUGUCCUCAGUUGCCCAACAUGGAGCUCAGGUUGAUAGGAAUUGAAGAAAAACAUCAGAAUAUAAAAUGUGACAGUCUGUAACAUAUAUAAGUUGCAAGCAACAUACAGUAAUAAAAAAACAAAUAGUGAGAAAGAGAGAGAGAGAGAGAGAGAGAAAGAGAAACAUGAAGAACAUAUAAAAAACUUAAUUUGUUACUACACAGCAGUUGUGUUGAUUUUUAGCUAUCCCAAAACUUUACAGUUUUAAUGUAAUAUAUACAAAGAGGUAUUUUUUAUCAGUGCUGUCAUUUUUUAAAAGCCUUAUAUUUUUUUUGUAUAUUUUAAAAUGCACUUUGAUGUCAUCUGCAUACCAUAGACUUUAUGCUGGCAGAAUUUAGCUUAGCAUGCUAAACCCAGAGGCCCUUAAACCCAACCUACCUGUGAGUAUUUACUCACCAAAGUGUUGGACUGGAUCCCUCCAGGAAGUGUAGGUCUCAAUAAAGGUACUUCAGGGAAUAAUCUCUCACAAACCUUAUUGGCCAACGCUGUGACCUCCCUCCUAGACAAUACCACCAUUUAGAGGCACUGUUUCUUGGAGUGAGGUGACAUGUUGGUUUACUGACAUCUGGAGACAAGGGGUCAAAAUGUGAAGGUCAGGCAGUCUUUCUUUGACAGGUGACUCUGGAAAGGUGCAAUCCUGAAAAAAAUGUUGUUCCUGGAAGCACUUUCCUUCCAAAAAUGUACCUCAGAACCAGAGGUGGUCUUGCAGUACUUACAGCCUCACUCACAGUGGUACUGUACCUAUGAAAUCAAACUAAAAUUAUAGUAGUUUCAUAGUAGGAUGCUAUAGUCAAAGAACAGGUCAGAUAUCUGGGGAUAUUUCACUGUGCUGCCUAACAUAGCAGGGAGAGAUAAUCAUUGCAGAAGCCACCUCUCCAAGCCACCACUUAAGAUCUUACAGCACCACCCUCCGACUUGAGUUUCAGUCUUAGGUAAUAAAUAACUACAAUAUGAUGAUCUGUAGAAUAUGAAAUGUAUGCCAUUCAAGGAGCAGAGAUGACUGUGAAGGACCACGAGGGCAGAAAUGGUUUUGUUUUAUGAAAGCAACAAGUACAGAAAGACUUUGGUUGAAGUUUACAUCAUGUAUAAAAUAGUAAGAAGUACACCAAGACUUGAGUUCCACACAAAACCCCAUUUGUUUGUUUUUGUUGCUGUAUAAACAGCCAUAAUUUGUUCUGUGCAUAAGCAGUAAUGUGGUGGUGAUUUACUACGGUAUCCAAAAUUCAAAUGAUCAGGUCUUCAGCUCCCCAUUUAUAAAAGUGAAAAAAUGCAAAGGCAUUGCAAGGACUGAUUUCUUUUAAAACCCUGAAAAGCUUUCAGUGAGACCACUAUUUUGAAAAUGAUUUCCUUGGCUCUGCCUAUAGCCAAUAAAAUUUGUCAGACCCUGACAUUACAGCAGUGAUGUCAAUUUACCUCAGUGCAGAAGGUCAUAGCUGUCAUAGCUUGUCAUAGUUGUCAAUGUAAUCUGUAUUUGCCCCACUGUCAGUGGGCAAAUGGCUUUGUGGGAUGUCACACAAGGAAGAAUUCCUCAUUUUCCACCUGCUCAUUUCAUUUGGGUGACUGACAUUCAUACUCAUUAACACCAGUCAGUAAAAUUUCUUAGCUGCACUGUGCUCCUUGCAAAGCAUCAAACUAUGGGUAGACAAUUGUCCAGUUUUGAUAGUUAAGGGCUCAGAAUACAAUAGCUUCUGUUCCUUAACUACACAUGGGGUAAAUCAACUAGUAGGAUAUAAAACCUCAUUGAUGUAAAAUUCCUUUAACACAAGUAGCAGAUUUAUGUUUCAGCCCUGAAAGCGAAGGUUCAGGUGAUAGUCGAUAAUAUGGUCACUGAACUGUUUUGCUAUUAAGUAUUGAAAUAUGAAAUAUAUUGAAGGAGCUCCUGGCACUUUGAGUUUAAAAACUAUUUGAUUUAUUCCAGGUAGUCAAACUAGGUCAGGAUGAGCAAAGGUUUUCAAAGGAUGGUGCAGGUUCUGUGCCAGGUUUUUUGGCUGGCUGGCUGGGUGGGUGGAAUAAAGGUUGAGGGGUGGGGAGGGACAUUUUUUGUGGAAGUUUUAUUCAUUUAUUUAUUUCAUAAUAUUCAUACUCCCUUGAUUCUAAAAGAAACCCUCAAGAUUGUUCCUACUCCUUAUUGAGAGAACACAGGCAGAGUGGUAAUGCUGAUUCAGAGCUGUGUGUUUCUUUAACAUCUCAGCACUGAUUAAGUCUGAAAACCCCACAAAUCUAAGUUACUAAAAUCUCCAUGCCUUUUUUUUUUAAUUGAAGGCCCAGAAAUGAGCAGACUCUUAUGUGACUUUAAGUGACCAGAAAAAUAACGGAGAUGCAUAAUCUCUCCCCCCAGUCCUGAUGAGACAUCAGGAAAGGUAUGGGUUCUACUACGGUCAUGCUGAUUUUUGUAAUUCAUUUUCAAAUGGGAAAAAAAAUCUGACUCUAUUAUGCAUGUUAUACAGUGGUACCUCGCAAGACGAAUGCCUCGCAAGACGGAAACCUCGCAAAACGAAAGGGUUUUUGGUUUUUUGAGUUGCUUCGCAAGACGAUUUUCCCUAUGGGCUUGCUUCGCAAGAUGGAAACGUCUUGCAAGUUUGUUUCCUUUUUCUUAAAACCGUUAAUACAGUUGCGACUUGACUUCGAGGAGCAACUCAUAGCACGCGGUGUGGUAGCCUUUUUUGAGGUUUUUGAAGACUUUGGUGAUUUUUGAAGCUUUUCCAAAGCUUUUCUGACACCGUGCUUCGCAAGACGAAAAAAACCGCAAGACGAAAAAACUCGCAGAACGAAUUAAUUUCGUCUUGCGAGGCACCACUGUAUAAGCAUACUACAAACCUGAACACAGGAAUGAUUUCACCAACUAUGGUGUGUUAAGUGUGGGCUAGGCCUUAGGUCUGAAACUAGUCUAGUUUCCAUAAAAAGUUUAGAAAUAAAAUACAGAUAGGUAAAUGUACAUAUAGGAAGAGAGGCAGCUCCCUUAUUCUGAGCCAGACCACUGGUCCAUCUAGCUCAGCAUUGUCUACAGGGACUAGGCAGCUUUGAAAGGUUUCUGGAUGAAGGUUUUCCCCAGACCUUGGUGAUGCAACCUGGGCCCUUCUGCAUGCAAAUGAUGCGCUUUGCCACUGAGCUAGGGCCCUUUCCACAAUGUACUGCUACAUUCAUUUACGUCCACUAACUUUGUGGGGUUAUACUUAUAUGCAGCUAUGGUCCGGAAUCACCUUUCAAUAAGGCAAAACAGUUAUUUUAUUUUUAAAGUAAACUAUCACUUAUGAGGUAGUGCAAUGCAGUAGCAUUACUGGUUGUUCCAAUUUUAAGUGAGCCACAAAGGCACAGAGAUCGAGACUGUCAUACAGGAACCUGCACGCUCACCUGAGCUGAAUCAGCACAAGAAAAAGUGGUUAUUCUGUUAAUUCUGAGUGCUGAAUUCAUUCCUGUAUGUCUUAUAGACACAUAUCCUUAGGCAAUUCUGAGGUGCAGAAAGCAUGAAACUACAGCCUACACUUCUCUUCACCUGCAGACCUCUCUACGAGAUCUGGUGGGGCCAUUUUACUCUCUCCAGCAUUCUGCGAGUUUUAGCUGUACCACUCUAAAACUCAAUAGGGGAAUAUAUAUAACUUAACAUGGUGGCUCUUUCCAUAUAAAGGUUAGGGUGCAGAGAACCUGAGUAGGCACUUAGAAAGUGCUUCUGUACUGUAAUUUCACUGGUGCUGGCAGUAAGGACAGUUGGGUGGGGUUAUUUACAUUUAAUUCAAUGUCUAUUAACACCCAGACCAAAAGAAUCCACUCUGGAUUCACAGUAGACUAGAAACUACACUAAAGCUGGUCAGAGUGUUACUAAUGUGCCAUGUACAGGCUACUCAUUAAGUUUGCAUCUCCAGCAACUCUGUAAUGUUUAGCAAUUGGUUCUUAUAUGAUUUACAGAACCAGAUAGUAACUGAUCACUGUUGAAGUCUUUACAAAGAAAGAAUUGUAUUUUCCUUUCUAUUGGAAGGCAAAAACCUUUUGGCUUUGUUUUUAACAUUCAUUGCUGACACUAUCCAUCCCUGGUACUGAGCCAGAUGAGAUUCCCUUUGGCAUCUCCUUUCCUCCAAGUUCUGUGCUGCCCAACCCCUAGGAAUAAGUCAGAAGUCUGAGUGUGGUCUACUAGUGAUGACUGCAGCAGGCCACUUGCACGCAGACAAUGGGUUGUGCAGUGCCAAUUUGAGAAAAACAACAAUGUCCCUGAAUAUUAUAAACCCCUCACCACAAUGCCUUACAACCCUCCCCCAAAUAAAAUAUGCAAGUUUUGCUUUAGGCUGCACCAAAUGAAUGAGUAGGUCCUGUAAUCCAACCGAAUUAAACAAAGUACAAAUGGGCUCUGGAGCUGAUGACAAGCAGAUACGCAUUAAGGUUCACACAUGCAAGCUGGCCACAUCUUUUCUCCAUGUGAUCCUUCUCAUGUAUAGGACUGAAUGGCGACCCCUCCAUGUGAGCUGGGCUGCACCUAAGUGCUGCUCCAGUCACACACAGACAAAUGGCUGCUGGAGCAGUUCGGUUCAUACUUUCCCACAUACAAGAAGAAUCACAUCAGAGGUAACAGGUGGCCAUCAGGACCUUUUAUGCACAGGGACUUCAUGUGAGUUCAGAGCAUUCAUGAGAACACAGUGGUUCCACACUGCACCAUGGAUACACAAUCUGCCACGAUCUCAUUGGGCAGUUGGAUGUAUGUGACACGCUGCUUCAUGAGUGUCCUCUUAUCCUCCGUACUUCACAGAAACGUAAACCAUUCCUAUUUACUCAUGAAGAAGGUGCUCCAUUGCUUUGUGAUGGUAUUGUGAUAAGCAUUUGCAACCUGAGGAGAAUGGACAGCAAAAACCACAUAGGUGUGCGCGCAAAGGGUAAAAUAGUAAAGAGGCAGUCAUUGCAUGGAUUGUGGCCAGCCUGGUGCAAUGGAAGUCUUCAAAUCAAACUAAAGGGUUAACCAAAAACAAAAAAACAAAACAAACAAACCCACAGCAAAAUAUAGUGACAAAAAUGAAAGCUCUUUACCAUCUGUAUGGAAUAUUACAGAGUUCUGCAAAGGAACAAAGUUAAUUUUCUGCCAUCACUUUCCCAUCUCUUAAAAAAAAUAAUAUCAGCAUUUGGCACUGGUGAAGCCACACACACAAAGGAAAGUCACGCUUCUUUUGUGUUCUUUCAAUAGCAUCCACAUGCAUGGCUAUGAAAUGGAUAGAGGAGGUUUUUCACCCACAUGGAGUGAUAAAUUAGUUUUCUGCCAAAAAUAAAUAAACAUAUAAAUGAUACUGCAAGACCAUCAUAAUUAUAAACUGGUUCCUUAAACGUAUCCCUCACUACUAAAGUUUAGUAUGAAUCACUGUAUAAAUGACUUUUAUCGCAAUAUAUCCCAAUGGGAAGUAUCUUUUAAAAAUAGGCUGAAGGUUGCAUAUGGCUGCAACCAAUGCUUGUUUCACCGGCCAAAAUAAUUUGUGUUUAUUAUGUUUAAAACUACUAUUUCCCCCCACAGAAUUGGUCAAUGAUAUUCCAUGGGUAGAGGUAGAUUAUGGGGUUGAAGUGAUCAUAUCAAAGCCCUGUAACUUUGUGUGCUCUUUGAGGAGUCUCAUAAAACUGAGAUAGUCCCAUAACUAACCACUAGCCAUGGGAUAUUAUAAUAUAUUCCAUGAUGACUAGUAUUUUUAUUCCCCACCCCCAAUGUUGAACUAAUAUGAAAUAUAGUUUAGUCUGACUGGGAAUAUUUUCUUAUUGCUGUCAUUUAUCACUAUAAUUAACAAAUAAUCAUAAUAAAGUACCCUGUGAGAUUAUCGCUCAUGGCUCUUCAGAAUAAGUCUGCACAAAAUGGUCAAUGUUCUCCCCUUUUCAGUCAGCCUUUACUGUGAGGAGGGUUGAAGGAGCUGUAGACUGUGGACCUUUUGUGAGAAGACAUUGAUGCUCCUCCUGUUCAGAGCUAUAAAUGCUAAGCUUCCAUGUUGAUUAAGUCGCUACUUGUUACAAAAUUGGUUGGGUCGCGUGAUGUGGAAUAAACACCCUUACAUUUCGCCUUGUUCCCUUCUGAAUCACAUUGUGUUUCUGUGGGAAGUCUAAGCUAUCAUUCUAAUGGGUGGCUAACCAUCUGAAAAAAAAAUACAUGGUUGUCUCAUGAAAUCUGCAUGUAUUGAUGUAAGUUUAUCCUUUAAGGAGGCACCUGGUUUCUCUAACGUAAAUUGUGUUCUGCAACUCAAAAAGCAUCUAGGAACAAGUGGGGGGAAAAUAUCCAGGGGGUGUGGGAAUUGUGUACUUGUGUGUGCUUGUUUUGCUGGGCAUGACCUGUGCCCUUGGCUCCCAGUAUGCCAGGAAGCAUUUCGCUUAUGGGAACCAUCGUGAUGUAUUAAUGCAGCCUGGCAAACAUAAGCUGUAAAUUUCUAAAAAAUAUUCUUCCACUAGCUGUGUUAACUCUUAAAAUCUUUUGAGUGUCCCUUUAAACAGGACCAAUAUUAAGGCUCCUAAAGCGUGCUCUCCUAAGUUUCACUUGUCAACUUCUCCUGUACCAUUUUGUCCCUGCAACCUGUAUGUCCCACACAUUGCUCCAUGUGUGGUGGUGGGACAGUAAUGGGAUAAUGUGCUACCCAUUGUGCUAAGAAAGCAGUCUGACUGAAUCUUUCAAUCUCUACAAAGGAUGGAGGUUAAAGGUCAGAUGGACAUUCCUCUAAGAGGUUUCCUACCUGCUCUGUUAAUUUCUAACAUUUCUUCUUGGGCGAGUGGGCAUGUGUCGCUCUGAGUACUGUGGUGUGGAGAGUUUAUGACAGAUUUACAAUAAUUGGGGGAUCCCAGCUGGGGCGGCCGAGGGAUAUGCUUCUUUUUUUUCUUUGGUAGCUUCUGCUUAGCCAUAGCUAAGGAGUAAUACAUUCCGAAAUUGUUCACAAUGACGGGUACAGGCAUGGCAAUGGUCAGCACGCCUGCAAGAGCACAGAGGGCCCCCACCAGCAUGCCUGACCAAGUCUGAGGAUACAUGUCUCCGUAGCCCAGGGUAGUCAUGGUGACAACAGCCCACCAGAAGCCAAUGGGGAUAUUUUUAAAGUGUGUGUGUUCGCUGGCACUAGGAUCAUUGGGUUUAGCACCUAUUCUCUCAGCGUAGUAGAUCAUUGUGGCAAAGAUUAAGACGCCCAAUGCCAAGAAGAUGAUGAGCAGCAAGAAUUCGUUUGUGCUGGCACGGAGGGUAUGACCCAAGACCCGCAGCCCUACAAAGUGGCGGGUCAGCUUGAAAAUUCGCAAGAUUCGUACGAAUCGGACGACUCGCAGGAAGCCCAAGACGUCCUUGGCAGCUUUGGAAGACAGGCCACUGAGUCCAACCUCCAAGUAGAAAGGCAGAAUGGCCACAAAGUCAAUGAUGUUCAAGGUGUUUUUGAUAAAUUCCAUCUUGUUCGGGCAGAAAAUGACCCUCAUUAGGAACUCAAAAGUAAACCAAACGACGCAGACCCCUUCAAUGUAGGUUAGGAAGGCCUCUGUCUCCGCCUCCCGAUAGAUGCGCACGUGGGUAUCAUUCCCAACAAUUUCCGUCUCCGUCUUGUUAACGAUGGGAUUAAAUCUCUCAUGGGUCUCGAGGCAAAAGGUAGUGAUGGAAACCAGAAUGAAGAAGAGGGAGGCAAAUGCGAUAUACUGUAGAGAGAAAAAACAGGAGAAAGCUGUUAGAUAGUAAAGUUUGUUUGUGAGGAGGGGAAAACACAAAGCAUAUAGAGAUUUGAUUGUGAGACAUUAAAAAAAAUAAUACCAGUAGAAAUGGCGCUGCCUGGCUGCAAGUGCUCAACACCCAUUUGGCAAAGCAACAGGGUCCAUGGCCAAGUUAGCUUAUGAUCAUUGGAGUGGCUUAUCUACAGUUUAGGAAACUUGUAUUGAACCGUCUUGUUCCAUUGUAAAAUAUUUUUUAGAGGUGCCAAUACCCUGUAGUUUGGGGACUUAUUUGAUGCCUCGUAUCAUGGGACAACCUGGACCUGAUAUAGAUCCAAGCUGAAUCAGGGGACUUGUACAGCCCUAAUUGUUUAAAUAGGAUUAAAAAGCCCAAUUAAGCAUAUUGUCAGUGGCAAGGGGGUGGCAGACAAGUGAGAUUCUUUGCCUGUGUCUCCUCCUUCACCCCCUCUCUUUGUGACCCACUACAGUGGUACCUCUGGUUACGUACUUAAUUCAUUCUGGAGGUCUGUUCUUAACCUGAAACUGUUCUUAACCUGAAGCACCAAUUUAGCUAAUGUGGCCUCCUGCUGCUGCCGCGCGAUUUCUGUUCUCAUCCUGAAGCAAAGUUCUUAACCUGAAGCACUAUUUCUGGGUUAGCGGAGUCUGUAACCUGAAGCGUAUGUAACCUGAAGUGUAUAUAACCCAAGGUACCACUCUACAGGUUUAAUUAGGGUUAAGAACUAUGAUUAAACACAGGGUCACCCGGCUGCUCUGGAUUACUCUGAGUGGACCUGACCCAGGACAAUCUGGGGAUGUCUUGACCUGCUUUGGGCCAAGCCCAGAUUGGUUCAGGAUCUGGGAUUUGUCCCAAGACAGGGCACAGCCCUAGCGUUUUGUUUCACUCUGCAUCUCGAAAUCAAAUUCUUUUCAGAAAAAGUAUAUGUUUAGAUUCUGUACUAAAGAGGAUAUGUGAAUCCCAUUUUGAACUCCUGCACAUUCUGAAAUAAUAUGCAGCUGAUGCAGCAAUUGGGCCUGAACUGGGCACCUUGCAGUUGUGCAAUGACAAGGAGGCUGGACCAGGAUGCAAUGUAUCACAGAUUGGGUAAAUCCCACCAUCUUCCCACUCUAGAAGGCCAGCUUAGUUGAGAGCUGGGGAGAUGGUCAUUUCCACUCAUUCGAUACACGCAGAUGCCCAGCUAUUGGGGGGGGGUUGGUCCUCGGUCGCUCACUGAACCAAAAAAUGAAUCUAAAGCACAUUGGCCAAGGUAACCCAGGUAAAUAGGACAAACCAAGGGUGGCAUCAGGAACAAGCAAGCAGGUAUAGUUUUGCUAAAACAAAUAGUUUCAAAAUAAAAUAAGGAGCAGCAGGCUAUCAAGGCUGGCUCAGAACUGAGCUCCCAAUUGCCCUAUUUUUAGAGUUGCAAAGUAGAACGAAUCACUUAGGGCGGAAGAAACUUUGCUGAAUAUGAAUUGAGGCUGACUUUUUACCACAGCCCUGUAGAGUCCUGACAUUUCCCAUAGGAGGCUUUAUCAGGGAAUUUUUCUUACGAAUAUAGGGUUCCUUUUUCUUUUGGUUGGGGGAAGUCCAUAAUCCACAUUUAUGCAUAUCCCACAUAAAUUGCCAAAUAGCUUCACUGCACACACAUGGAAUGUCCUGGCUUAUAUGCAAGUGGUGUAGGCAACACAAGGGAAGUAGCCCUGUAGAUGUUAAAAAACCCUGUUUUGCAUCCCAGAGGUGCUGGUCCACACACCUAGUUUCUGUAAGAUGCUAGAACAGCAGCACUGGAAUACCUCCUCCCAUUCAUGGCUUGUUGGCUCCUCCUUGUUUCCUAUGGAGGUCAGGCAGCCCUUUCUCCCAACUACAGGAACAUAGGAAGCUGCUUAGACCACUGGUCCAUCUAGUGUAGUUUUUUCUAUACUGACUGGCUGUGUCUGUCCAGGAUUUCAGGCAGGGCAUUCCCAGUUCUACCUGGAGAUGGCAGGGAUUGAACCUGGGACUUUUUGUACGCAAAACAGAUUCUCUACCACUCAGUUAUGGCUCUUCCCCCACUAAAGCUCCACUCAGGGAGGGGGAAGGUUGUGACCAUCCAGAUGUUUCCAGACUACAGUUCCCAUCAUCUCUGAUUAUUAUCCAUACUGGCUGGGACUGAUGGAUGGGAGUUGGAGUCCCAGCAGAUCUGAAGAGUCAUAGGGUCCCUAGACAGAAAUUCAGUUUUAAUCAUUUAUUUCUCUCCCUCCACACACAUUCAAAACCUGACACUAAUGCAGAAUGGCCUGCACAUAUCAAGAACACAUAUUUACUAAGUGUCUCUUUAAAUUCCUCUCUUGUAUUUCUUAUCUUGGGGGGGGGGGGGAGAGAACAAAAUGGUUUCAGAUCGAAUUCUCAUGGGCUUCAAUAGUUCUUCACCCAAAUAUGAUAUGUGGUCCAUUACUUUAUUAAUAUGGCAGUAUUCAUUCAGAAGUAAAUUAAUCUUUUUUUAAUGCUACUGCACUGUUAAAACCUCCUGAAGGUGAUAACAUUCUCCCAAGGACACCAAGGUUACUAAAUAUUCAUCUUUUCUGCUUCUGCCUGUAUCAAUAUAAUCAUUAGUGACAAAAGCAUUACUCAUAUUUUACUCCAGUAUUAGUACACUUUGCACGAGAACUUUCCCAAUUUAUCAGUUUUAAAAAUAGAAAUAACAAAUAUAACAACAAAAAAAGGACUUAUUCACACCUAUUACAACACUGCCCAGAAACGGGGAGUAAAAAUCCUAGAAUGUGGAACUAUGUAUGCAGUGACACCAUGACAUGUGAAACACAAAUAUUUUCUAGUGAAAGAUCAAUGCGCAGUGUGGUAGAAUAGGCCAAAUGUUACCUCAGGGAUAGGGCCAAAUGGAGUCUUCCAAAUAUCUCCAUAUGGCCCCCAAAACUCUGUCUAUAUCACAGCCCCUCUCCAAAGGUCAAACCUGUCACUCAGUGUCUUUGACUGAACUGUGUCCUUGAAAACUGAUAAUGCCCUUUGCUCACCUUGAGGGAGGUAGCUUACUGUACAAAGGCAAAAUCACAUUUAUUGCUCUCCCUGCUUUUGUCUGUGGUCCCACUCACCACUGGCAUGUGGCCCUCAGACAUCUGCCCCAAAGGCAAUGUGGCCCUUGGCCUGAAAAAUGUUACCCACCUUUGUGUUAGACUGAGAAGUCCUAGUUCAAAUCCUCAACUAGUCUUGAAGAUCACAAGAGGGUGUUGGGCAAAGUCACAACCUACCUCUUAUCAAACACCCCACAGAGGUUUGUUUUGUGCAUUAAAAAAGGGUUUGAGAGAAACGAUAGACAUUUUAGAGGCUAGGCUAAUAUUUCAAACUCUUCUCCAAAUACUGGAAAGGGGAACAGAGGGCAAUGGGAAGAAAUUUAAGAAGGACAAUAUAAAGUGUUGCCUAGCAAAAAUCUAAAAGCACAGGUAUAUGAUAUGGGCUAGCUGCCUUAGCAACUGUACUUCUGGGAAAGAGUUGGGAGUAAUACAAGUUAAGAAAUGCAUGGCUCAUGCCACUUUAGGAUUAUUAGCUGAACCCUCCUUGUUACUCUUCCAAAAUCCACAGCUGGGUUUUAAUACUACUACUACUAUUAAUUUGUAUCCAAUUUUUCUGCCUCAAAACAGGCUUAUGGGUGACAAAUAGCAACAAAGCUAUCCUCCCAGCAACACCCAUCUUUUGCCCUUCCCUCAUCUAGUAUUGCAUCUAUAUUUCCCCUGAAUGUCAGAGAAGAGCGUCUUACCAAGUUUACCAAAUAGCAACACUUUAGAUUUAAUAAGAUUAAUAUAGUUCUCAAGGGCAUUCAAAGAGCUUUACAUCCAUUUCUGUUCAGCAGCUAGUUUUUGGAGGGCUAUUUCAUAAGUGAGGUAAAUGAUUGAGGGUGAAGGCCUUCACACACAUAACACACAUGGCCUACUUCAGUAUCUGUCACUUCCCUUCUUUUUACAGUUCUUCAGCAAACCAUUUCCCUCCAUCUAGGUCCCACCCUGUGGGAACUGGUUAUAAUGCUGAGAGACACUUGAGGGAGGCUCAUGCAAAGCAUAAAAAUGCCUAAGGCUGAUUCUUGAAAUCCCACCAACCUCUUUCUGGUCCUCUGAAUUUGCCCAUGAUAUGUAUGUGCCCAGUGGUGUACAUCAUACUGAUAUACUGUUGUGGUAGUGUCUGGAGCAGGACCAGCUUUAAUGUGUGAGGCAAUUCUUGCCUCUGACAGACCCUUGAAAACAAUUAUUUCAACAUUCAAUGCAAAUGCCUGCUUUGUCUUGAAAAAUGAAAACAACUUUUUCAAAGCUGAAAGAACAACAUAUUCCUUCUGGGGGAGGCCAGCAGCAACCAAAUCAAGACCAGUCACACAUGCAUUUCCAAACUGUUGUUCAUCCUCCCUUGUGAAACAUAUUUCCCCCUAUGUUGUCAUUCUCCUUUUCUAGGCUAGUCUUCUCUGUUGCUCCCUUUUCUAUGAAGGAAGAGAGGCUGCACACGCACCAUACAUUUAAAGCAUAUUUUCCUUACCCCUAUCCUUUAUGAAUCCUGGGAGCUGUAGUUUGUUAAGGGUGCUGGGAAUUUUAGUUCUGUGAGGGAUAAACAAAGACUAUGUUUGCUGUCAAGCGAUGGCUGUUUCCACCUGCCUUGCCUAGGAGCAUUCAUAAGGGAGCUGUUCUGGAAGACCUGUGAGGGGAGACCGACUGUGUUUGCUAUCAGAGGAUGGUUGCCUUGCCUCACCCUCCAGUCCUCUCACAGCAGCUGAUUCCAGAACUCUGAGGAGGCUUUCCCACCUUUUAGGUUGAAGCAUAAAUGGUGGGGAAGGGGAGAGCCCUAUGCACUAUUGCCAUCUGCUUUGUUGCUAUUUUUGGAUAAGAAGUUAUUGGUCUUUUUUUUCUUGACCUACUACUACCUCACUGAAAUGUUGAUGCAUUUAAAAUUAAUUGCUAAUAGCUGCCGCCAAUUGCUUUCUAAUGGGUACUCCUUGCAGCUGAAACCCCCAGGGCUUUCCUAUAGGUCAGGCAUAGACAAACUCGGCCCUCCAGAUGUUUUGGGAGUACAACUCCCAUCAUCGCUAGCUAACAGGACCAGUGGUCUGGGAUGAUGGGAGUUGUAGUCCUAAAACAUCUGGAGGGCCGAGUUUGCCUAUGCCUGCUAUAGGUAGACAUAGAAGCCCAAAUCCCCAAUGCAUUACAAUGUGUAGACCAGGAAAAUGAAAGUCCCAAAGCGCUUGAAUGAGUGGACCUAGUGUGCAAAACCCCCUAUGCUUUCCGGUGGGUAGACCAAGUGGCACAAAAGUUCCAGUGCUUUUUUUAUAGGCCCCUGGACACCAGGUCUACUGCCCCAUGCUGUGGUGGGGUUGAAGAAGUGGUGUUGAGGCAUCAUUGCUGACUUUCCUUCCCCUAAAUACAUGUGACAACCCUAUACCUCUCAGAAAUUGAAGGCUGAUUCAUACAUGCAGGAAAUUACUUAAUAUAUCAGUGCUUUGAUAUGGCACAUUUGAUGACUCACUUAGCUGAAUGCGUGAAAAGUAAUGUGUUUGAGGUGAUGUGAGAUCUGUGGCGUUAGAUCAGUGUCGACUCAUUCACACAUGCACAUUAUCACUUGGUGUCACAGUUGUUAAGUAAAGAACGUUCAUGUGCAUAACCAACUCUUUGUUGAUACCUGUUCUACACAUCUACCUCCUUAUUAUAGGAAUAGUGAACCUGUGAUCAGGGCUGUCUUAAGCAUAUGCAGCGUUGGGGUGCAAAGACCUGCCCGGUGCCCUCCCAAGUUGCCCAGUCCCAGGCUCGUAGGAAGGUGAAGCCGACCAGCCACCUCAACGUCUCGCUGGCUCAGUCGCCCCAAAACUCGUGGCGCAGAGCCAUCAGCAGCAGAAGAACCCACUGUGCCACUCCAAUCGAUGGGCGGGCUCUUCCCCUGACUCAACUCUUGGGCCCUGGACUCUCGGCCUGGAGCCCCUGAGAGCCUGGUGCCCGGGUGCCCUGCACCCCUAGUGCCUAUGGGUAAGACGGCCCUACCUGUGAUUUUUCUGGAUAUUGCUCAACCAUAACUCCCAUAAUUCCCUGUCAUUUGUCAUGCUAGCUGUAGCUGAUGGGAUUAGGAAUCUAACAAUGUUUGGAGGGUCGCAGGCUUCCCCUCUUGCUUUAGUAAAUGGUCAUGAAAAGACUUUUAGAGCCAAUUUGAAUAUAACAUUCUUUGUAAUCUCAAUGAUAUUUCUUCCCAUAUUGCUAAGUUGGAUCACCUUCAAUCAUCCCCUUAGGUCACUGGUCAACAUUUUGGUAAAGGAUAGGAGGUUGCAGCAAAUUAUUCAACCGCAAUGAGAACAGCAUUCAAGCACCCAGAACAUCAGGAAGCAAUGAAAGCGUUUGCUCUCCACUGAUGUGUAUGUGCCCAGGUGCCACAGCUACUGGUGGUGCUACUUGCUGUUCUUUACCCUACAUUUUAAAAUAAAACUCUACAUAAGAUUCUCCAAAUCUGCAGGGAACAAGCAGGGAGGAGCAAGGAAGAGUUUUUUGAACAUGAAUUUGCAUCCCCAGAUAAAUAAUGCAAAAAGUGAUGUUUGGAAAGGAGAGUUGAUAUGCAUGCAUAAUCUCCAAUUACAGCUGGCAGCAAAUUGUAAUGCAGAUAGUUCAAUUGAGCUAUUUUAAGAGAAGCGGAAAGCGAGGCUCAUGCUUUCCUUGUUAGCGAAGUAUACCAUUGCCUCUUUUAUAUCACCUUCUGAUUAGAGGAACAAAUUAUUUUAAAAAACCUCAUCCUCUGCUGACCUUUGUGAGGAUUCUCACAAAGAUCCUAGGCACUUGUAGCUCAUAGGUCCAGGAGGGGAGAACUUCUUCUGACUGAAGGGAAAGAGGAAAGCAGCCAGACAUAGUGAUUGGUAUUGAGCUCAAUGUUCUCAAGGGCACAUAUCAGGUCUUGGGGUCUCUCUCUCUCUCUCUCUCUCUCUCUCCCUCUCCCUCUCCCUCCCAUUUUUAGUUUUCUUGGGUAUCUCAAAUUACAAAAUCCAGCAACAUACACUUUUUUGCUCCCCAUUUCCUCUUUCUUUGAAUUCAUUGUUGUCUGCUUUCUUUUCCAUCCUUCCCUCUGUCAAACAUACUGCCGUAUUCAUUCCUUCAUUCAUUUCCUUAGGUAUGCAGCAUUAUUAUUAUUCUUCCCCACCUUUUCUACUGACAGGACUUGGCAACUUACAGAUAAAAACAAGAAUGGCUAAAAACAGAAAAAUCAAUCACUAAAAUACAAUUAAACAUUGAUAGAUUUAAUAUACUGUAUUUUUCUGUGUAUAAGUCUAGGUUUCCCCCCUAAAAAAUAAUGCCCAAAAUUAGGGGGCAUCUUAUACACAGAGAGUGCUGAGGGUGGAUUUUCUUAAAUCUGAGUCCCCCCAAAUAGGGGGUGUUUUAUAGGCAGAAAAAUACAGUACAUAUAUAAAAUCUAUUUUAAAACACUUGGUAGUGUGGGACGAGGGGUGGUUGAAGAUUCUGCUGCUUGCUCAGAAACAGCUGGAAGCUUUGCAAAUGUUCCAGCUGACAUUAUGUUAAUAGAGUAUUCUGAGCAUUCAGUGUGACUAUUUUCACAAUUUCCACAAGCUGAAAGGCACUUCCAAACCACCACCUCCACCUUCCCUAUGACCCCCAAAUUGACUUUUGGAGCUGAGGAAGGGAGUAGUGGAUGCUCUCAGGGCCGAGCCAUGAUGAAAGGUUUUGACAAUGGUCUAUAAUAAGUAUAAAAAGAAUAUUAUUUCAGACAUAGACCAACUCUUGUAUCAGUUACAACCAGUCAAAAAUCAAAAUGCCAACGAUGUCAUGGAGCUAAGGCAGAAAGUCAGAAAUUUGAGUUUGCAGGCCCUAAAACAAUAUGCUCAGAGACAAAAUUACACUCAAACUGAUUGACAAAGGGCUAAAAAGGCAGAUGACUUUAUAGACCAGUAGAUCGGUAGACAUUUACAGACCUUCUAAAGUCAAAGGGGCAUAAAUUGAGAUGAUGGCUCAGUCACACACAAACCAGUUUGUGCAUCAGACAUCCUAGGGUACCGAGGAUAAUGCUCACAUGGCCAUGAGCAACACAGUUGUAUAAAGAGCCAUUUCUCAGACUCUGACAAGUUGCCUCUGCCUAGAGCUUGUCCAGCUGUUUGAAUUACAUGCAGUAUUCCACAUGGGAAAUUAAAUCACUUCUGUGCACAGGAUACCAGGUGCAGACAAAGCCAAAAAUCCCCAGCUAAAGUAGAAAUAUGAAGCGCUCUCUUUACUACUGCGGUGUCAUUGUAUGUUCGAAAUGCUCUCUUCAUUGAGCUAUGGUAUUUGCAUAUCCUGAAACUAGGGCUGAAGUCAUAAUUUCACUGGAUUUCAUGUAGAUACAAGAGCCUAUUGUUCAAUCAUAGAGAAUCCAAAAGACAAGAUGUACUAAUAGAGCAGAUACAUUCAAACUGAAGGCUAUUCUUCAGUUUUCAUAAACCCAACACCUACCAUGCCAUUUUAAAACAAAGGUGUCUUUAAAACAAGGUGAGUUCAGAAGACCUGCUGAGUCCUCUUGCUUAAGGGAAAUGGUCUCAAACACAAAGGCAAUACAUACUGAAGCAUGGUGUAGACAAGCCCAUAUUCAGGCUGAGAGAAGGACAGAGCUCCGAGAUUUUCUCUGUAAGAAUCUGGGGUGCUGGCAGUUCCCCCAGAAAAUUGAUGGGGCAGAGAGAAUUUCGGACAUGUGCGAAAGUUAAGCUGCAUUUCACCUUUGCUUAACCUGCAUACAUGUUUAAAUAAAGCACAUAUUACAAAACACUUGUAAACCUCCAGUUAUCUAAUUUCAAAGGAAAGAGAAGCCGAGGACAUGUUGCGUCCCUGGAAUUAUCAUUGUUUGGCGAACAGGACACGUGUGAGUUUGCUCUCUGUGACUGAGUGUACCGUGCAGAUAGAAGUGCCAAGGAGCAGAUCUCACCACCGCCUGACUCCCCGCAGUGCAUAGAAACAGAGGUAAAUAUGUGUUUGCUGUUACAUAACAUAUGCGACAACCUUCACCUCCUUUGGAGAUUGUUAUAAAGCUUCCUCAGUUGCUAGAUCAGAACGUGACAGAUGAAGAACACUGGCGAUGGAAAUGCAUGAACUGAAAUAAGGAGCAGCCAAUUAAAUGGGUUAUGUGUGGGAGUUCCAUUUCCCACGGCUCAACACUUGUAGAGAGCUGGAGAUUCCCCAUCCCUUUCUUAGAUGUAAUGAACAUGUCAAUUUUUAAUUAUUAGAAUGUUUAUAAACUGCCAGCUCAUAAAAAAAAUCAAGGUGAUGGACAAUAAACUUCAUUGAAACAUCUUAAAUUUAUGAGAUCAUAAAAUACAGAAUAACCAACAUUGCAUCAAAUUAAUUCUCUAAAAAUGCUAGGUGAAACAAAAAACCUUUUCAGCAAGCAAUGAUGUAACAGAAUGGAGGAGCCUGUCUGAUUUCAAAAGCAACAGCCCCCCAAAUUACCAGUUGCCACUAAGCCAAAAGCCUUCAUUUGUGCAGAAACUAAAUAGCCAUGAAACAUCUAGGCAGGCCUCAUACCAUUGGACGAUUUGGCUCAGUACUGUCUGCACUGAUUGGCAGUUGUUCUCCAGGCUAUCAGGAAGGUGUCUUUCCCAGCCCUACUUGAGCGAUGCCAGGGACUGAACUUGGAAACUUCUGCAUGCAAAACAAGUGUUCUACCAUAGAUCAGCUCCUGGCCUGCUCUUUGUGCACCUAAAUAUCUCCUUGUUUUUAAUCAAGAUGCUGUUUGGAUAAUAAUUUUUCCAGAUGGUGCUUGUUUAUUCAGGGGUUGAAUUUAACGUCGUGCUAUUAAGAAUGUUCCAUCAGCACAAGCAUUUAUGCUUGCCAGACAGAACAAUCUCCCUCUCCUCCCCCAACAUGCUGUUCUGAGGGUUAUACUGACCACCCUUGGGCAUUCUAAGCAUGAGAGGACGAGGAGGAGGAGGAAGAGGAGGAGGGAAUCCCAUUGCACAAGUGGGACUUGUGCUGGCUUCUGCUAGCACUACUGUUUAGUCAAAUCCAGCCCUCAAUCUCUGCAGCUAGGUGGCCUUUAUUAAGAAAGAGCAUGAUUAGGAAUGCCAACUCUCAGGAUUUCACUAGCUGCAUUUAUAGCACAGAGCAGUCAUUGCAAAUCAAUGCUAGCUUACUAUAGACACCUGGUUCCUUUGUACAGGAACUGGUAUCCAUUUGCUAUGAAUGGUAAUAACUGGUUCAUAUACUGUGCACAAUAAUAGUUCACAAUAUGAAUUCGGGUCUUUUUUUGUUCUGAAACCAUUGGGUCAAAUCAGAGCAAAGUAUUGAUUUUGCUCUGAUUUGACCCAAUGGUUUCAGAUGUCUGAUGGCAGCAACAGGCAUCUGGCAACCCACAGGCCAAACCUGGCCUAAGAAUGAUUCCCGGCUUUUGCCACAACAGAGAGGAAAACAUGUGAGAAAUAACACAGCAUUCAGUAUGUACAGGUUUCCCAUAGGUGCUUUCUCACUCCUAGGACAAGCAAAAUGCUAUUCUGUUUCCUUGUUGCUCAUAUUUCAGUUUUAUAAUGAGUAGCACUGUUGUUUUUCUAACUGAUAGUAUUUUUAAAAUUAAUAUUUGUAUGUUUUAUGAUUUUUGAAAGCCCAUCUCAUAACCUUUGAACAUUUCAGGUUCGCAAUACAGCAGAAUCAAUACAGACUCUUCCAAUUGCCCUGCACACAGCAC